UUUUGUUGGAAACUUAACAGCAGAAAAGUGCGAAGAAAACGGAAAAACUUGACUAAGUUCAGAGGAAACUCUUAAGUUGGUCUUUCAAGAUCAAUUCAACGUUUUGACCAUCAGGAAUGACUCCCCCUUUCUUUGACUGGACUCUACAACCCCAUACCCAAGAUGUUAGAAGCUCACCAAGGCGUAGACCAUACUGCAGCAGGAAAUCGACCAUGGCCAAAGGGCCCUAAGUUUGCCAACAAAAACAUUCUUCACUCCAUUACACCAGCACCAGCAGCCUGGAUGGCUGACAAAAUGCAGGUUGGCUCCAUUGAUUCAUGCUGCUACCACCAAAUUGUGACUCUGUACCAUCUGCAUGCCUCAGCAGGAAUCCAGAUUCAUCACGCCGGGCUCCUUUCAGUGAGCAUACACUGCACACUCCCAUUCCCUGUUCUCGACUGACUGUUUGUGUCAAGGUUUGAUGUGCUGUGCAUUCUGAGAUGCUUUUCUUUUUCGUGCCACAGCUCAUGAUCAAAGUCCCGGAGAUUACUUUCCCCCCUUGAUUCUGAUGUUUGAUGUGAAAAUUAACUGAACCUGACCUGACCUGUUGGAGCAGGAUUUAAUGCAUUGUUACUGCUGCAGGGUGAUUGGCAGGUUGCACCAAUAAGCAGCUGCAGUUAUUACUGAUGAUGUUAUGAGAAGUUUAUCAGUUAUUAGGUUAAGUAUUAAUCUGUUGUGAAAAGUGUUUCCCAAACUUUUGUCAUGGGGACAAACCACUAUGACACGUUUCACAAUGUAAAUCAUGAUGGCAGAUUUGUGCAUAAUUACAAUUAAAUAACAUUUUUGACUAUUUUACUGCCUAAAUGUUAUGUUAGUAUAUUGAGGCUGAUAGCUGAUACUUUGUCAUGGAACUAUGAUAAUAUCCGGGUUACAGCACAGAGCAACAAAUUGAAGGUUUUCAUUCAUUUGGGUUAGUGUGUUGUAAGUGUUUGGGGGAUCCCCUACAGUCUGGCCAAACCAUAUGUUGAGUGAAUUUUUCAUGUAUAUUAUUGGAAUUACAUUUGAAAUAUUGUGUCGCAACAGUGACUCAGCUGAUGUUGCUUUUAUCCAAUUGUUGUUUAGCCUUCUUUAGCAGGAGCAGUUAAAAACAACUUCAGUGGUUUGGUGCCUGAUAGAGGAACCUCAGUUUUUACACAAUCUGGAUUUAGCUGCUGUAGUCAGUUGCAUUAAUGAGGUAAUCAUUCGUGAUACGUUAGUUUAAGUCUUCAAAUUAAACUCCUGCAUGGAUUUUAUAUGUAGGUGGAAGAUGCUGUCCAUGGUGCUGAAUGAUAUGGGCUGAAAUUCAAAGGCAGCCUGUGACAAAUACUGCAUAUUUGCUGCCUGGACGACACUGGACUAAAUGUGAUGUUGUGUGUAUAUUGACCUUAAAAUGAACCAGACGUAUUAUGGGAUAUGAAACCAUACAAUACAAUCAAAAAGGGAUUCAAAAAAUUGUAAGAAUAUUGUAAGAAGAAAAGAAUAAACCUAAUUUGUAGCAGUAAUGAACUUGGUUUGUUGUUAAUUUAAGACACUAGCCAUUUUAAAUGUAUUCUAUAACUUUAAUAAUUAUUGUCAAGUUUGACAGUGGUCCACUGAUCAAAUUAAAACCACAGCUCCAUCAACAAUUGGUUAUAAAGAUAAGAUGGGGGAGAAAUUUAAAUUGGUAGAUCAGCACAGAGGCAUCAUCAUAAAAUAGCGAUUUCCGUAGGAUGUAAUACACAGUGUUUUUCUCUUUUAAGCCUCUAUCCACUAGGGAUGAGCAUUUUAUAAAAAGUGUUUACAAUGUUUUCAAUCUUGGUGAUCUAACGGUCACAUUAGUGAGCAGCAGACUGUGUACGUUUUAGUAGAUGUAGCAAUAAUCUCAGGCACCAGCUUGAAAAAGGGAAGAGCACUGGAAAUGCGCACGGACCAGGAGUGUCUGUACACAUGCUGCGGUAAAUAAUCAUUCCUCAUGUUGAAACCUACAGGGUUCUUUUUUUUUUGUACUCGCAGUCACAACCCACUGAGCAUUUACUUGCUGUUUUUUCAUUAGUGGGUUUAGACUCCCCACUAGUGGUGAAAGCAUGUGACUGUAAGCACUGAUUACUUUCAUGUUCAUGUAUGUUACACUGCAGAAGGUCACAUGAAAACCUCACAAUACAGCAGAAAAAAUGACAGCUAAUGCAUUUCUAUGAACAUGAAUAUUACUGACAAUGUGCCCCGAUAUCUAGAUAAUGCUUUUCAUCAAAUGACAGUUGUGUUUUAGAUUGAUGAGCAGCAAUAAUGACAUGUAAUGUAAUGUAAUGUUUUACACAUGCAUGUAAGUCUCUCUCUCUCUCUCUCUCUCUCUGUGCAUGUGAUCCACAUAAUGAUAAUGGGUGGCAUAUUACUGCGAAUAAAGACCAUGACGGAUAUUUAAAUUGUCCACAAGAUGGCAACAAAUGAGAAGCAGGGCGACAGUGACACAGAUGCUCACAUUAGGUGUCUAACAGCGGCACUGAUGCACCGAUGAGUCACUCUCAUAAACUAAACGUUAAAUAAUUGACGGCCUUUUCAGGCGUCCUCGCUUAAAGAGAAAAACAAAACACCGUCACUGACUGUUUAGAGGAGGGACUAAUUGAAAUGAUAAAUUAUUAAUUAUACAAAUUAUACAUUCAUCCAUCCAUCUUCUACCACUUUGCUGUGGCAAUCUCAGCUGACAUAGGGCCAUAGGCGGUAAUGUAAAAUGGUGUGUUUACCAUUAACUUGGUUUAUUGUCCCCAGUUUCUGUACAUUUGCAUGUCUCACUUUGGAGAUGUCUGACGGUAGCAGGCUUCUGCUGAAGUGGGCUUCAUUGCAUUUCAUACUUUUGAAUCUCCUUUGUGGUGGUAGGAGUUGGCUUUAAUGUUGAAUUGAGUAAUUGUACAGUAAUUAUGCUUGAUUUGAAUAUAUUAUGUUCACAAUUUAGGUUUGAACAACAUGUCUUUUGCCUGUUUCCUGCAAAUGAGCCGGUUACUUCUAAUUGUGUUCAUGCAGCGUGAUGAGCUGUUGCAAUAAAUAUCCUGUAAAUUAGCAUCCUCAAGAAUUGCAAAUCACCCCGUGGUCUGACAUAUUAAGCAAAUGAUUCCACAGUCGUAUCAUUUCACAUUUGCGCACUAUUGACUCAGGAAUCUGAACCGUAUUACUAUGAAGAGGGAGAAUAGGAGCGUGUUUAUGAACACUGUGUGUUACACCACUUCAUAUUUCAAAGUAUGUUUUUUUUUUAUGGCUUGUGAUUUUAUUCUGUUGGUUUUGUCUGAUGCUUUUAUUCUUGUGGUUUUAUGAUGUCUUCCAUUUUAUGUUUGUAUGUCUGCUGCUGUAUACUAAUGGGUCCAGCCUUGUUGAGCUUUAUUGUCCCAAUAAGGACAAUAAAGUAUUAUUAUCUAUCUUCUGUAUAUCUAUCUAUCUAUUUAGCCCCAGAUACCUGAAACAUAAUUAUAUAUGGCGAUAAGACUUAAAGAACUGUUAAAAAACUGUCAUCAGUGUGAAUGAAGUCUCCAGUCUGGUGGCAGCUGAAGCUUGAGCAGUGAACAGCCGAGGGCAGUGUUUCGUGGGGUUUGGCAUAUCGAUAUCAAAGACGGUCUCAGUGGUACGCGCAGGCGUGUGGAUGUCAACAGCUAUGCCACCAAUACACUUUGAGAUCAAUGUGAUAUCUCCUGCUGCUCCUCUGGCCCCAAAUGAAAUGUUUUCUCUUCUAACAGCUUUAUUGAUCACCUUUAACGAUGGUGGUGAGGAUCAAAGACGUUUACUGUACCCAGACAUCUCAGUGUUUCUGUUAAAAACCUGUUGUUGGUUUUUAAAAGUCCACAUUCUCCACCAGUCACAUAUGCAGGACACAGUCAUACAUUGUGUCCUGCAUGUAGGGCUGAUAUCUGAACUUUGAUGCAGAUUCCUGAACAAUACUUUGUUGUUAAAUCAGGGUUAGUCAAACUGGUGGCCGGGGGGCCACAUGCGGCCCUCCAAUUGAUUACAUGCAGCCCGCCCACGAAAGUGCUGUGCCACAGCUGCCAAGCAAGGUGAUGUAAUAUAAGACUAACUAUAUAUGACAUUCAGUUGUAAUUAUUGCUUUAUUAAAUGUAUUACACUCAACAUUA